rnacentral:rRNA from 1 species
UACGUAGGUGGCAAGCGUUAUCCGGAUUUACUGGGUGUAAAGGGCGUGUAGGCGGGAGUGCAAGUCAGAUGUGAAAACUAUGGGCUCAACCCAUAGCCUGCAUUUGAAACUGUACUUCUUGAGUGCUGGAGAGGCAAUCGGAAUUCCGUGUGUAGCGGUGAAAUGCGUAGAUAUACGGAGGAACACCAGUGGCGAAGGCGGAUUGCUGGACAGUAACUGACGCUGAGGCGCGAAAGCGUGGGGAGCGAACAGG